UACGUAGGGUGCAAGCGUUAAUCGGAAUUACUGGGCGUAAAGCGUGCGCAGGCGGUUAUGGAAGACAGAGGUGAAAUCCCCGGGCUCAACCUGGGAACUGCCUUUGUGACUGCAUGGCCAGAGUACGGUAGAGGGGGAUGGAAUUACGCGUGUAGCAGUGAAAUGCGUAGAUAUGCGGAGGAACACCGAUGGCGAAGGCAAUCCCCUGGACCUGUACUGACGCUCAUGCACGAAAGCGUGGGGAGCAAACAGG
rnacentral:rRNA from 1 species